CGGCAGGCUAAUCGAGGCGGAGUUGGAUAGUUCCUGGCUGCAUGCAUGCAACCCCGGGCCUAUAUGCAUGCCGCAUAUGCCAUGCGAUUGGUAUGUGUAGCCACU